rnacentral:rRNA from 1 species
AUGGUUUUCAUUUGAAAGAUGGUUUCGGCUAUCACUUGAGGACGGACCCGCGGCGUAUUAGCUAGUUGGUGAGGUAACGGCUCACCAAGGCAAUGAUACGUAGCCGACCUGAGAGGGUAAUCGGCCACAUUGGGACUGAGACACGGCCCAAACUCCUACGGGAGGCAGCAGUAGGGAAUCUUCCACAAUGAACGAAAGUCUGAUGGAGCAACGCCGCGUGAGUGAAGAAGGGUUUCGGCUCGUAAAACUCUGUUGUUAAAGAAGAACAGGUGUAAGAGUAACUGUUUACACCGUGACGGUAUUUAACCAGAAAGCCACGGCUAACUACGUGCCAGCAGCCGCGGUAAUACGUAGGUGGCAAGCGUUGUCCGGAUUUAUUGGGCGUAAAGCGAGCGCAGGCGGUCUUUUAAGUCUGAUGUGAAAGCCUUCGGCUUAACCGGAGAAGUGCAUCGGAAACUGGGAGACUUGAGUGCAGAAGAGGACAGUGGAACUCCAUGUGUAGCGGUGAAAUGCGUAGAUAUAUGGAAGAACACCAGUGGCGAAGGCGGCUGUCUGGUCUGUAACUGACGCUGAGGCUCGAAAGCAUGGGUAGCGAACAGGAUUAGAUACCCUGGUAGUCCAUGCCGUAAACGAUGAGUGCUAAGUGUUGGAGGGUUUCCGCCCUUCAGUGCUGCAGCUAACGCAU